AUGGACCAUUCCAUAUCUUAUUCCCGUGGCUAUGCAUCGGAGUCGAAUGACGAAGGUCCGGAUGAAGAAGUUGAUGAGGGGUUCACGGUGAAGGAGGUCGAAGCUUUUGAGAAGGUAUUCGGGUGGGAUCAUCGGACUCCAUUGUUCAAGGAUGUUAGUCUUGCGGAUGAAGCCGUGGUAGAUGGAGGCCAAGGUAUGUCUCAUGGAGUUAGGCCAAGCUCUCACCGGGCUUUGGAAGAUGGCAAGAACAGGAUUUCUCCCAGGUCUAAGUUUGAAACCUUCUUGGAGUUGAAUAUGUGGCUCCACAACUACUCAGUUACGCAUUAUCGUACACACAAGUUAGUGAACUCGGACGUCAAUGUGCGCUACACGGUUGCAUGUGAAGAGAAAAAUGUUCAUGGAUUGUGCGUGCAAGACCAUGGAAAGGAGGGCCCACUUGGCACGUAG
rnacentral:rRNA from 1 species